CCUACGGGGUGCAGCAGUGAGGAAUAUUGGUCAAUGGCCGCAGGCCUGAACCAGCCAAGUCGCGUGAGGGAUGACGGUCCUAUGGAUUGUAGACCUCUUUUGUCAGGGAGCAAAGGGCGCCACGUGUGGCGUUUUGCGAGUACCUGAAGAAAAAGCAUCGGCUAACUCCGGGCCAGCAGCCGCGGUAAUACGGAGGAUGCGAGCGUUAUCCGGAUUUAUUGGGUUUAAAGGGUGCGCAGGCGGAAUGUAAAGUCAGCGGUAAAAUUUCGGGGCUCAACCCCGUCGUGCCGUUGAAACUGGCGUUCUUGAGUGAGCGAGAAGUAUGCGGAAUGCGUGGUGUAGCGGUGAAAUGCAUAGAUAUCACGCAGAACUCCGAUUGCGAAGGCAGCAUACCGGCGCUCAACUGACGCUCAUGCACGAAAGCGUGGGUAUCGAACAGGAUUAGAUACCCCAGUAGUC
rnacentral:rRNA from 1 species